GGGUUAGUAGGUUGGUCAUGCCUCUGGUAUGUACUGGUCUCACUGAUUCCUCCUUCCUGAUGAACCUUAAUGCCAUAUAUUUGGUGUCUUGGGGAAUUCGGACUGUCACUCUGAAAAAAUUAGAGUGUUUAAAGCAAGCUAACGCUUGAAUACAUUAGCAUGGAAUAAUGAAAUAGGACGUUCGAUCCUAUUUUGUUGGUUUCUAGGAUUGACGUA
rnacentral:rRNA from 1 species